CAGAAACGGCGGCUUCUUCCCUCGAAAAACGGCAUGCCAUAUCUGUUCCAGAUAACCGUCAACUACCGCAGUCUGUGACUGAAUCCGAUAAUCCCCCUCUCUCGUAGCUGGAGUCUUUCAGUUUCAGGAAUACUGCGUGAUUACAUUGAAGCAGUGCCAGUAAUCAACAAUGUAUGUAUUUUCAGACCGAUCAAAGUCAUUACUGAAAGCUCAAACACCUGCAUCAGAAAUAUCUUGCUUGAAAGUCACAGAUUGAGAAGCUUGAAUCUGCUUCAUCCAAAAUAUUUGGUGGAAACAGGUAGACCACACACGAAAUAGAAGAAUUGAAAUAAGCUUCUGAAAAUGCUAAGAUUUGUGCGGAGAAUGAAUCUGAUCAAAUCAAGGAAAAUAAUAGGAAUGAACUUGAAAGAAUUGAAAGAGAGACACAAGGUAGCCUGCAUUUAUCUGCUGUUUUCAGUAUAGUUUGACAUCAGACAUGGCUAUUUGUAAUUCAGAGUAAAUAAUUGAAAACAAUGCAUUUCACUGGCUGUUGUGCAUAGCAGAGAAGAUGGCAGCUCUUGAGAGAAAGUUCGCCAGAAUUCUGUCCAUAAAUUCCCUGUACUGUAGGACGUAGGCAGCAUGCUCUGUAUUGCCUUCUUUUUCAUUUAACUUGGAGUUAGUGUAAACGGAAGUGGCUACUCUCCACUUCUUAGUGAGUGUAGGC